rnacentral:rRNA from 1 species
GACGAACGCUGGUUGCGUGCUUAACACAUGCAAGUCGAACGGAAAGGCCCUGCUUUUGUGGGGUGCUCGAGUGGCGAACGGGUGAGUAACACGUGAGUAACCUGCCCUUGACUUUGGGAUAACUUCAGGAAACUGGGGCUAAUACCGGAUAGGAGCUCCUGCUGCAUGGUGGGGGUUGGAAAGUUUCGGCGGUUGGGGAUGGACUCGCGGCUUAUCAGCUUGUUGGUGGGGUAGUGGCUUACCAAGGCUUUGACGGGUAGCCGGCCUGAGAGGGUGACCGGCCACAUUGGGACUGAGAUACGGCCCAGACUCCUACGGGAGGCAGCAGUGGGGAAUAUUGCACAAUGGGCGGAAGCCUGAUGCAGCAACGCCGCGUGCGGGAUGACGGCCUUCGGGUUGUAAACCGCUUUCGCCUGUGACGAAGCGUGAGUGACGGUAAUGGGUAAAGAAGCACCGGCUAACUAUGUGCCAGCAGCCGCGGUGAUACGUAGGGUGCGAGCGUUGUCCGGAUUUAUUGGGCGUAAAGGGCUCGUAGGUGGUUGAUCGCGUCGGAAGUGUAAUCUUGGGGCUUAACCCUGAGCGUGCUUUCGAUACGGGUUGACUUGAGGAAGGUAGGGGAGAAUGGAAUUCCUGGUGGAGCGGUGGAAUGCGCAGAUAUCAGGAGGAACACCAGUGGCGAAGGCGGUUCUCUGGGCCUUUCCUGACGCUGAGGAGCGAAGCGUGGGGAGCGAACAGGCUUAGAUACCCUGGUAGUCCACGCUGUAAACGGUGGGUACUAGGUGUGGGGUCCAUUCCACGGGUUCCGUGCCGUAGCUAACGCUUUAAGUACCCCGCCUGGGGAGUACGGCCGCAAGGCUAAAACUCAAAGGAAUUGACGGGGCCCCGCACAAGCGGCGGAGCAUGCGGAUUAAUUCGAUGCAACGCGUAGAACCUUACCUGGGUUUGACAUGGAUCGGGAGUGCUCAGAGAUGGGUGUGCCUCUUUUGGGGUCGGUUCACAGGUGGUGCAUGCCUGUCAUCAGCUCGUGUCGUGAGAUGUUGGGUUAAGUCCCGCAACGAGCGCAACCCUUGUUCACUGUUGCCAGCACGUUAUGGUGGGGACUCAGUGGAGACCGCCGGGGUCAACUCGGAGGAAGGUGGGGAUGACGUCAAGUCCUCAUGCCCCUUAUGUCCAGGGCUUCACGCAUGCUACAAUGGCUGGUACAGAGAGUGGCGAGCCUGUGAGGGUGAGCGAAUCUCGGAAAGCCGGUCUCAGUUCGGAUUGGGGUCUGCAACUCGACCUCAUGAAGUCGGAGUCGCUAGUAAUCGCAGAUCAGCAACGCUGCGGUGAAUACGUUCCCGGGGCU